UGUGAGUGACCAUUAAAGAAAUAUUUCAGGCUCACAACAACCAAAAAUUAAGUAACUUUCUGCACAAAACAAGUACCUCCACCUUAUUCAGUUGUUGUAUUCUCUGGUAAUCAAAAGGCAUGAUGGUCUGAAGCACCUAGAGCAGAAAUUCCUGUGUUUUAUAGGUGAAAGGUUUAGGGAGUCAUCAUGUAUUUCUGCUAUUUAUCCCUUUGACUAUUUCAUUAAUCUGUGAAAAGCAUACUGUGUAUUAAAAAUGAAAACCAUAUAAUUAGAGCAGAAUCUCAGCUUAGUGAGACACUCUUUCCUCCUCUGCUCCCAACAGUGAGUAACACUUUCAACUGCUGUUGUACAAAUGCCUUUGAAGCACAGUGCCUGUGUUGGGAAUAAUGGCAAAAAUCAAGUAAAUAGCAGGUACUGGCUGAUCCAUGAGGGAUUAAGAUUUAAACACAUAUGCUUGACUUGAUCCUCAUUCAUUCCGUAAAAUUAGAGAGUAUCAGCUGGCUGACUGUUAACAAAUGAGACUGUCAGCUGGCAAAUUAAAGGGAAUUUCAAACAAAUGUGGACCUUCAGCAAGAAAAGACCGGUCAAGUGCAGCAGUGGGUGUGGAGAAAGAACAAAGAAAUCUGUAACUGACUGUGAUCAAUUAUAAAUACCACUGCCAUCGGACCAGUCAAAGAAGCGCUCGGCAGGAUAGAUAUUUAUAGCUCUGAGAAAGGUGCACCGUUGUUGUUACGAUGGCUGUGCUAAUAUUCUGAUCUGUCAAAAACAAAGGGUUGUGGGUUUCUCUUUCGAAAACAACAGGCUACGUCUCUCCUGAAGUCCCAUACGUGUUAGAUUUCGUGUGGGAACUCUCCUGGAAGCAUCUUCGGGCACCGCUGCCUGCUGGGUAAGUGCUAUGCAGAUGAGCCAUGGAAAUACAUGGAGGCUGCGGGGGGAGGCGGUUGUGCAGCGGCAUCUUCCUCUCGGCCUCGCAGGCGAUCUUUGAUGCGAGCAAAAAGGCUGCUCACAGAUAAUCUUUAACCAGCGAAGCGUGCAGUGUUUACUAUUUGCGUCUGCUGUAGCUCGUAACAAACAGCACACACCGUUCUCUGCUCAAGAGGGGAUGCCGAAGCCUUGGCUCUUCUCCACACCACAUCAGCACUGCAAAUGAGGAGAUGGAGAGGCCAGGAGCAAAUGAGUAUGGAUGGGAUCCGGAUCUCAACAGUUACUAAGAAACUGUUGUUGCAAAAUAGAACUUUUAUAGGGGUAAAGUGAGCACAUUAUUAAAAAAAAAAAAAAAAA